rnacentral:rRNA from 1 species
GGAUGCGAUCACACCAGCACUAACUUCGAAAUUAAGCAUGAUUGGGCGAAAGAAGUACUAGGAUGGGUGACCCCCUGGGAAGUCCUCGUGUUGCAUCCC